GGGGGGCUGCUCCUAGUACGAGAGGACCGGAGUGGACGCAUCACUGGUGUUCGGGUUGUCAUGCCAAUGGCACUGCCCGGUAGCUAAAUGCGGAAGAGAUAAGUGCUGAAAGCAUCUAAGCACGAAACUUGCCCGAGAUGAGUUCUCCCUGAGACUUUAAGUCUCCUGAAGGAACGUUGAAGACGACGACGUUGAUAGGCCGGGUGUGUAAGCGCAGCGAUGCGUUGAGCUAACCGGUACUAAUGAACCGUGAGGCUUAACCUUACAACGCCGAAG
rnacentral:rRNA from 1 species